GCUUAUUCAAUCAUACUUGAAAUUUUCCUUGUUUGUUUAUGCUCCUGCAUCUUCUGUUUCAUUCAUCUUGUUAUCUGAGGCAAUGUCAUACCAUGCUACAAGUUGAUGCUUUUAGAUGAAUGUCAAGUUUUGCUAACUAGGAUGUAUGAGGAUUUCUUCCUCCAUUUAGCAAUUCAAUCUUGGCGUGUAUUCAGGGGACGACCAGA
rnacentral:misc_RNA from 1 species